rnacentral:rRNA from 1 species
CAUUAUCGAAUUGGCUUGGGCUGUGCUGGCUUCUGCAUGUGCACGUCCAUCUUCAUCCAAUACACCUGUGCAUCUUUGACUUUGAGCCCUCGGGCAAGAAGUAUUACUACACCCUUUGAUUAUGUAUGUGAUAAAUUAUGGCGCUUUGCGUCGAUUAUAAAACAACUUUCAACAACGGAUCUCUUGGCUCUCGCAUCGAUGAAGAACGCAGCGAAAUGCGAUAAGUAAUGUGAAUUGCAGAAUUCAGUGAAUCAUCGAAUCUUUGAACGCACCUUGCACCCUUUGGUAUUCCGAAGGGUAUGCCCGUUUGAGUGUCAUUGUAAUCUCACACCCAAGACUUCUUGUCCAGGGAGGUGGACUUGGACGUUUGCUGCGUAACUGCGGCUCGUCUCAAAAGUGUCAGCGCGGCUCUAGAUGAAGCGUUUGAUGCCCANUGUAAUAAGUAUUUCGCUGUGGUUAGCAUUAUUCUACGAAGCUGUUGUGCUCUCUAAUCGCCUUCGGACUGGACCAGUGAUGGCUCCUUUGACAACUUGGCCCCAAUCCCGUAGGACUACCCCCUGAACUUA